rnacentral:rRNA from 1 species
GAUGAACGCUGGCGGCGUGCCUAACACAUGCAAGUCGAACGAAGCACCUUUUAAGAUUCUUCGGAUGAUUGAUUGGUGACUGAGUGGCGGACGGGUGAGUAACGCGUGGGUAACCUGCCCUGUACAGGGGGAUAACGGUUGGAAACGGCUGCUAAUACCGCAUAAGCGCACGAGAGGACAUCCUCUUGUGUGAAAAACUCCGGUGGUACAGGAUGGGCCCGCGUCUGAUUAGCUGGUUGGUAGGGUAACGGCCUACCAAGGCGACGAUCAGUAGCCGGUCUGAGAGGAUGAACGGCAACAUUUGAACUGGGACACGGUCCAAACUCCUACGGGAGGCAGCAGUGGGGAAUAUUGCACAAUGGGGGAAACCCUGAUGCAGCAACGCCGCGUGAGUGAAGAAGUAUUUCGGUAUGUAAAGCUCUGUCAGCAGGGAAGAUAAUGACGGUACCUGACUAAGAAGCUCCGGCUAAAUACGUGCCAGCCGCCGCAGUAA